UACAGAGGGUGCAAGCGUUGUCCGGAAUUAUUGGGCGUAAAGAGCUCGUAGGCGGCUUGUCGCGUCGGCUGUGAAAACCUGGGGCUCAACCCCGGGCCUGCAGCCGAUACGGGCAAGCUAGAAUUCGGUAGGGGAGACUGGAAUUCCUGGUGUAGCGGUGAAAUGCGCAGAUAUCAGGAGGAACACCGGUGGCGAAGGCGGGUCUCUGGGCCGAUAUUGACGCUGAGGAGCGAAAGCGUGGGGAGCGAACAGG
rnacentral:rRNA from 1 species